GGAGGGCUCAGUGGUGGAGCACAUGCUUAGCAUACACAAGGUCCUGGGUUCAAUCCCCAGAACCUCCA
rnacentral:tRNA from 1 species